rnacentral:tRNA from 1 species
GGUGAGUUGACAGAGCGGCCGAAUGUGACGGUCUUGAAAACCGUUGCCCCCACAGGGGCCGUGGGUUCGAAUCCCACACUCACCGCCA